AUUGAACGCUGGCGGCAUGCCUUACACAUGCAAGUCGAACGGCAGCACGGGAGCAAUCCUGGUGGCGAGUGGCGAACGGGUGAGUAAUAUAUCGGAACGUGCCCAGUCGUGGGGGAUAACGUAGCGAAAGCUACGCUAAUACCGCAUACGAUCUACGGAUGAAAGCGGGGGAUCGCAAGACCUCGCGCGAUUGGAGCGGCCGAUAUCAGAUUAGGUAGUUGGUGAGGUAAAGGCUCACCAAGCCGACGAUCUGUAGCUGGUCUGAGAGGACGACCAGCCACACUGGGACUGAGACACGGCCCAGACUCCUACGGGAGGCAGCAGUGGGGAAUUUUGGACAAUGGGCGCAAGCCUGAUCCAGCAAUGCCGCGUGCAGGAUGAAGGCCUCGGUUGUAAACUGCUUUGUACGGAACGAAACGGUGAGCUCUAAUACAGUUGUCUAAUGACGGUACCGUAAGAAUAAG
rnacentral:rRNA from 1 species